rnacentral:rRNA from 1 species
ACCAGUAUUGUUCUAAGUAUAAAUAAUCUUUAUAUUGUGAAACUGCGAAUGGCUCAUUAAAUCAGUUAUGAUCUACGUGACAAAUUCUUUACUACUUGGAUAACCGUGGUAAUUCUAGAGCUAAUACAUGCAAAAAAGCCCUGACUUACGAAGGGGUGCACUUAUUAGAUAAAACCAACGCGGGGUAAAACCUGUUUCUUGGUGAAUCAUAAUAAUUAAGCGGAUCGCAUGGCCUUGUGCCGGCGACGGUCCACUCGAUUUUCUGCCCUAUCAUGGUUGAGAUUGUAAGAUAGAGGCUUACAAUGCCUACAACGGGUAACGGGGAAUUAGGGUUCGAUUCCGGAGAGGGAGCCUGAGAAACGGCUACCACAUCCAAGGAAGGCAGCAGGCGCGCAAAUUACCCAAUCCCGACACGGGGAGGUAGUGACAAUACAUAACAAUGCAGGGCCUUUAAGGUCUUGCAAUUGGAAUGAGUACAAUUUAAAUCCCUUAACGAGGAUCAAUUGGAGGGCAAGUCUGGUGCCAGCAGCCGCGGUAAUUCCAGCUCCAAUAGCGUAUAUUAAAGUUGUUGCAGUUAAAACGUCCGUAGUCAAACUUUAGUCUUACCGGCGUAGUGGCCUGGUCUUCAUUGACCAAGCUCAUUGCUGCCGGAGACUCCAUGUCCAUUGACUCCUAGUCCUCGUGGCUAGGGUUUUCUGGACAAUUACCAUGAGCAAAUCAGAGUGUUUAAAGCAGGCUUUUAAGCUUGAAUGUGUUAGCAUGGAAUAAUGAAAUAUGACUUUAGUCCUAUUUUCGUUGGUUUAGGUACUUCAGUAAUGAUGAAUAGAAACGGUUAGGGGCAUUUGUAUUUGGUCGCUAGAGGUGAAAUUCUUGGAUUGACCGAAGACAAACUACUGCGAAAGCAUUUGACCCGGGACGUUUUCAUUGAUCAAGGUCUAAAGUUAAGGGAUCGAAGACGAUUAGAUACCGUCGUAGUCUUAACCACAAACUAUGCCGACUAGAGAUUGGGCGUGUUUAUUAUGACUCGCUCAGCAUCUUAGCGAAAGUAAAGUUUUUGGGUUCUGGGGGGAGUAUGGGACGCAAGGCUGAAACUUAAAGGAAUUGACGGAAGGGCACCACCAGGAGUGGAGCCUGCGGCUUAAUUUGACUCAACACGGGGAAACUCACCAGGUCCAGACAUAGUAAGGAUUGACAGAUUGAAAGCUCUUUCUAGAUUCUAUGGGUGGUGGUGCAUGGCCGUUCUUAGUUCGUGGAGUGAUUUGUCUGGUUAAUUCCGAUAACGAACGAGACCUUAUUCUGCUAAUUAGACAGGCUAACUCUUUCGGGUUGGUUUAUAUUUAAUAUUUAACUGGCUUCUUAGAGAGACUAUCGCCUCAAACCCGGAAA